CAGAAAGGCCUCUGCAUGGACAUGACAUAGAGUCUGCAUGAGGCUGCAGCCACUGUUGACAAAUGAAGACCUUGGUUUUUGUUCUCAUCUGUGCCACUUCUCAAAAUUCCUCGCAGACGCAGCUCCGCCCUUUCCAUGGCUUUGUCAACACUCUUCAUCUCCUGCACCCUCCUCCUCACUGGCCCAAUAGCGUAAUGCCUCAAGAUUCUGCCCUGGCCCUUCACUCUGUGCACC
rnacentral:lncRNA from 1 species